UGAGCCACCACACCCAGCCUCAAAUAUAAUUUUUAUUGGUGAAUUCAGGAAUUACAAGAACUUCAAUAAUGUCUGCUUACUUAACUUGGCAAUGCUCCCUCUACUCUCCUUCCAGCUCCCCAGUGAAGCAUGGCCUUGUGCGCCAUGAGCAGAUUUAAAGUUUAAGAAGAUGACUCUAGAUGUUCCAUGGAGAAUGCUGGGAGUGAGAGUGGCCAUGGGAAGACCCAGUGGGAGGCUGCUGAGUUGCCCAGAAGGGAAUAUAAGACAGCUGAAGGACAUGUUGCUGUUCCCAGAAUGGUGAUGCAAUCCAAGGAUUUUGGGGACCUGGACUUGUGUUUCCAAGGACUUUCCUUUCACCCAAAAUAAAAUAUGCUUUUGGUGCCUCUUGCUUUGCUUUUGCCCAUGUUGGUACUUGUUCAAUGAUAUAACUAGAGUCCAGGAAGGAUCGUAGCCCUACUGAGAACUUGAAAGAUCCCAAGUUCCAUCCUCAAAGCAUCCUCGCUGCCGCAUCAUUACAAAAUCCCCGUGAUCCA